rnacentral:lncRNA from 1 species
CGGGCCGGAGGGGGAAUACGGGCCGGAGGGGGGAAUACGGGCCGGAGGAAGGAGGAGGGAAUACGGGCCGGAGGGGGGAAUACGGGCCGGAGGAAGGAGGAGGGAAUACGGGCCGGAUAUUUCUGGUAAUGAAGGGAGGAGUGUCUGUCCAUAGUUUUUGUUAACUUACUGUGAAGAUUCUAAAUUCAUGUUUAGUCAAAACAGCCCAUGUUUUUGGGAUAUUUAUUAUUAUUAUUACAUGAAUAGCAGCUCUAUGUAUUUAUUAUCAGCCCAUGUUGUUGUACUUUACAUGAAUAGCAGCAAUAUGUAUUAUUUAUCAGCCCAUGUUGUUGUACUUUACAUGAAUAGCAGCUAUAUGUAUUAUUUAUCAGCCCAUGUUGUUGUACUUUACAUGAAUAGCAGCUCUGUGUAUUUAUUAUCAGCCCAUGUUGUUGUACUUUACAUGAAUAGCAGCUCUGUGUAUUUAUUAUCAGCCCAUGUUGUUGUACUUUACAUGAAUAGCAGCUCUGUGUAUUUAUUAUCAGCCCAUGUUGUUGUACUUUACAUGAAUAGCAGCUAUAUAAUGUUAUUUAUUAUCAGCCCAUGUUGUUGUACUUUACAUGAAUAGCAGCUCUGUGUAUUUAUUAUCAGCCCAUGUUGUUGUACUUUACAUGAAUAGCAGCUCUGUGUUAUUUAUUAUCAGCCCAUGUUGUUGUACUUUACAUGAAUAGCAGCUCUGUGUAUUUAUUAUCAGCCCAUGUUGUUGUACUUUACAUGAAUAGCAGCUAUAUGUAUUAUUUAUCAGCCCAUGUUGUUGUACUUUACAUGAAUAGCAGCUCUGUGUAUUUAUUAUCAGCCCAUGUUGUUGUACUUUACAUGAAUAGCAGCUCUGUGUAUUAUUUAUCAGCCCAUGUUGUUGUACUUUACAUGAAUAGCAGCUAUAUGUAUUAUUUAUCAGCCCAUGUUGUUGUACUUUACAUGAAUAGCAGCUCUGUGUUAUUUAUUAGUGAAACGUGUUUGACCUUGUGAUUGUUCUUUAGCUGCCUAGCGUAGUAGUAUAUAGGUCAACUAGAACUGCUUCUGAAAUGGCUUAUUCCCUAUAUAGUGCACUACUUUUAAGCAGAGCCCUACGGGCCCUGGUAGGGGGCCAUUUCAGAAGCAGACUAGUUUUCACUAGGGUUGGUUGUGUGUUUUUGGAUGUGUGCAGUGUAACAGGGAGUUAUUAUAGGCUUCAAUGGGACUGAAGGGACACCAGUGGUACCAUAAAGUUACAUCAAUGUGAUGACCAGACAGUCAGGUAUUAGAGGUUAGGGGUCAGAGGUUAGGGGGGCGGGGUGAUGACCAGACAGUCAGGUAUUAGAGGUUAGGGGGGGGGUGAUGACCAGACAGUCAGGUAUUAGAGGUUAGAGGUUAGGGGGGGGGGUGAUGACCAGACAGUCAGGUAUUAGAGGUUAGGGGUCAGAGGUUAGGGGGGCGGGGUGAUGACCAGACAGUCAGGUAUUAGAGGUUAGGGGUGGGGGGUGAUGACCAGACAGUCAGGUAUUAGAGGUUAGAGGUUAGGGGGGGGGUGAUGACCAGACAGUCAGGUAUUAGAGGUUAGAGGGGGGGGGGGGGGGGUGAUGACCAGACAGUCAGGUAUUAGAGGUUAGGGGUCAGAGGUUAGGGGGGGGGUGAUGACCAGACAGUCAGGUAUUAGAGGUUAGGGGUCAGAGGUUAGGGGGGGGGGGGUGAUGACCCUCUGUGUUUACUGUGAACAAGGAGAGGCGUUUCUGUGAUUGAUUGUUUUGUGGUUUAUAUAAGUUGGGUGUUUACUGAGGAUUCUGUUAAAUUCACUUCCUGUUGUACUGAUGAGGCUGUUGUCUGGUCCAUGUCUCAUUAUAUCAUUCCUAGAGGAGUAAUGUAUUAUAACAUCUCAUUAUCAUUCCUAGAGGAGUAAUGUAUUAUAACAUGUCUCCAUUAUCAUUCCUAGAGGAGUAAUGUAUUAUAACAUCUCAUUAUCAUUCCUAGAGGAGUAAUGUAUUAUAACAUCUCAUUAUCAUUCCUAGAGGAGUAAUGUAUUAUAACAUAAUGUCUCCAUUAUCAUUCCUAGAGGAGUAAUGUAUUAUAACAUGUCUCAUAUCAUUCCUAGAGGAGUAAUGUAUUAUAACAUCUCAUUAUAUCAUUCCUAGAGGAGUAAUGUAUUAUAACAUCUCAUUAUCAUUCCUAGAGGAGUAAUGUAUUAUAACAUGUCUCCAUUAUCAUUCCUAGAGGAGUAAUGUAUUAUAACAUGUCUCCAUUAUCAUUCCUAGAAGGGUAAUGUAUUGUAACAUAUGUUCUGUGCUACUGUUGUUGUGGUGAAUCUGUGAUUACCCCCCCAUACACACAGGUAUGUUUCCACUUUUCAGGAUAUUGUAAAUAAAGACGCUGCCUAAAC